UACGAAGGGGGCUAGCGUUGCUCGGAAUUAUUGGGCGUAAAGCGCGCGCAGGCGGUUCGGAUAGUCGGGUGUGAAAUCUUGGAGCUUAACUCCGAAACUGCAUUCGAUACUGCCGUGCUUGAGGACUGGAGAGGAGACUGGAAUUUACGGUGUAGCGGUGAAAUGCGUAGAUAUCGUAAGGAAGACCAGUGGCGAAGGCGGGUCUCUGGACAGUUCCUGACGCUGAGGCACGAAGGCCAGGGGAGCAAACGGG
rnacentral:rRNA from 1 species